AGCGAACGUUAGCGGCGCGCCUAACACAUGCAAGUCGCACGAGAAAGGGCUUCGGCCCCGGUAAAGUGGCGCACGGGUGAGUAACACGUGGGUAAUCUUCCUCCGAGCGGGGGAUAACAUUCCGAAGGAGUGCUAAUACCGCAUAAGACCACGGAGUCGAAAGACACUGAGGUAAAAGACUGGCCUCUUCACGAAAGACUAGCACUUGGAGAUGAGCCCGCGGCCCA
rnacentral:rRNA from 1 species